AUGCCUUCUUCGGCUGCGGGCGCUCCCCUGGCCAGGUCUUUGGCCGGGUGGUUGGGACGGGGGCGGGAUCGGGGGAAACCCUUGGCCGUCGGCGGAGGCCACGACAAUGGCGGCGCCUUGUGGGCAUCGGUUCCCUUCUUGGAGGCCUUGUCGAGGUCCUAUCCCGUCUCUCACUGUGCUCUUCAUUUGGGCGAAAGCUCUAGUUCCCCUUGCGGGCGAUGGCGUCGUCCCUUCGUCGCGCUCCUUCUUGAAGGCGUCGCCUGGGGUCCCUGGAAGCACGGUGGGCGCUUCGUGGUGCAUGUGAGGUGUUUGGCGGCGGCAAUGUGUGCGGCGAUUUAUCUAUUCUACCGUUGA
rnacentral:rRNA from 1 species